UACAUGGGGUGCAAACGUUGCUCGGAAUUAUUGGGCGUAAAGCGCACGUAGGCGGCCAACUAAGUCAGACGUGAAAUCCCUCGGCUUAACCGGGGAACUGCAUCUGAUACUGGAUGGCUUGAGUUCGGGAGAGGGAUGCGGAAUUCCAGGUGUAGCGGUGAAAUGCGUAGAGAUCGGGAAGAACAUCGGUGGCGAAAGCGCUCUACUGGACCGCAACUGACACUCAGGGACGAAAGCUAGGGGAGCGAAUGGG
rnacentral:rRNA from 1 species